rnacentral:misc_RNA from 1 species
GAAAUGCGAUAAGUAAUGUGAAUUGCAGAAUUCAGUGAAUCAUCGAAUCUUUGAACGCACCUUGCGCUCCUUGGUAUUCCUUGGAGCAUGCCUGUUUGAGUAUCAUGAAAUCUUCAAAGUAAAUCUUUUGUUAACUCAAUUGGUUUCUACUUUGGUAUUGGAGGUCUUUGCAGCUUCACACCUGCUCCUCUUUGUUCAUUAGCUGGAUCUCAGUGUUAUGCUUGGUUCCACUCGGCGUGAUAAGUUAUCUAUCGCUGAGGACACUGUAAAAGGUGGCCAAGGUAAAUGCAGAUGAACCGCUUCUAAUAGUCCAUUGACUUGGACAAUACUUUUAUGAUCUGAUCUCAAAUCAGGUAGGACUGCCCGCUGAACAUAAGC